rnacentral:rRNA from 1 species
CACGUAGUUGGCCGGCGCUUCUUCUGCAGGUACCGUCACCUACGCUUCGUCCCUGCUGAAAGAGGUUUACAACCCGAAGGCCGUCAUCCCUCACGCGGCGUCGCUGCAUCAGGCUUCCGCCCAUUGUGCAAUAUUCCCCACUGCUGCCUCCCGUAGGAGUCUGGGCCGUGUCUCAGUCCCAGUGUGGCCGGUCGCCCUCUCAGGCCGGCUACCCGUCGUCGCCUUGGUAGGCCAUCACCCCACCAACAAGCUGAUAGGCCGCGAGCCCAUCCCAAGCCGAAAAACUUUCCACCCAGCCUCAUGCGAGGCCAGGUCCUAUUCGGUAUUAGCCCGGUUUCCCGGGGUUAUCCCAAAGCCUGGGGCAGGUUGCUCACGUGUUACUCACCCGUUCGCCGCUCGAGUACCCCGAAGGGCCUUUCCGCUCGACUUGCAUGUGUUAAGCACGCCGCCAGCGUUCGUCCUGAGCCAGGAUCAAACUCU